GGGGGGGGGCAAGCGUUGUUCGGAAUUACUGGGCGUAAAGGGCGCGCAGGCGGCUUGGGCCAGUCCUACGUGAAAUCCCACAGCUCAACUGUGGAACUGCGUGGGAUACUGCCAGGCUUGAGUCCGGGAGAGGAGAGUGGAAUUCCCAGUGUAGCGGUGAAAUGCGUAGAUAUUGGGAGGAACACCGGUGGCGAAGGCGGCUCUCUGGACCGGUACUGACGCUGAGGCGCGAAAGCUAGGGGAGCAAACGGGAUUAGAUACCCCGGCAGUCCUAGCCGUAAACUUUGAGCACUUGGUGUGGCGGGUAUCGACCCCUGCCGUGCCGAAGCUAACGCAUUAAGUGCUCCGCCUGGGGAGUACGGUCGCAAAGGCUG
rnacentral:rRNA from 1 species